rnacentral:rRNA from 1 species
AAAAUCCGGGAUCACUUACGCCGAGCACCGAGACGAGUCCUAUGAGGACGAAGUGACUGACACCACGCUUCCAGGAAAAGCCACUAAGCUUCAGCUUAAGAAAAACCGUACCGCAAACCGACACAGGUAGGCAGGGUGAGAAUCCCAAGGCGCUUGAGAGAACUCGGGUGAAGGAACUAGGCAAAAUGGCACCGUAACUUCGGGAGAAGGUGCGCCCUUUGGUGUGGUCACGUGCGUGACUGAGCAUCGAAGGGUCGCAGUAACCUGGCCGCUGCGACUGUUUAUCAAAAACACAGCACUCUGCAAACACGAAAGUGGACGUAUAGGGUGUGACGCCUGCCCGGUGCUGGAAGGUUAAUUGAUGGGGUCAGCCGCAAGGCGAAGCUCUUGAUCGAAGCCCCAGUAAACGGCGGCCGUAACAAUAACGGUCCUAAGGUAGCGAAAUUCCUUGUCGGGUAAGCUCCGACCUGCACGAAUGGCCUAACGACAGCGGCGCUGUCUCCACCCGAGACUCAGUGAAAUUGAAAUCGCUGUGAAGAUGCAGCGUUCCCGCGGCAAGACGGAAAGACCCCGUGAACCUUUACUAUAGCUUUACACUGAACGUUGAGUUCUUCUGUGUAGGAUAGGUGGGAGGCUAUGAAACCAGGACGCUAGUUCUGGUGGAGCCAUCCUUGAAAUACCACCCUGGAGUGCUUGACGUUCUAACCUAGGCCCGUAAUCCGGGUCAGGGACCGUGUAUGGUGGGUAGUUUGACUGGGGCGGUCUCCUCCCAAAGAGUAACGGAGGAGCACGAAGGUACGCUCAGCGCGGUCGGACAUCGCGCACUGUGUGCAAAGGCAUAAGCGUGCUUGACUGCGAGAUCGACGGAUCAAGCAGGUACGAAAGUAGGUCUUAGUGAUCCGGUGGUUCUGUAUGGAAGGGCCAUCGCUCAACGGAUAAAAGGUACUCCGGGGAUAACAGGCUGAUACCGCCCAAGAGUUCAUAUCGACGGCGGUGUUUGGCACCUCGAUGUCGGCUCAUCACAUCCUGGGGCUGUAGCCGGUCCCAAGGGUAUGGCUGUUCGCCAUUUAAAGUGGUACGCGAGCUGGGUUCAGAACGUCGUGAGACAGUUCGGUCCCUAUCUGUCGUGGGCGUUGGAGAUUUGAGGGGGGCUGCUCCUAGUACGAGAGGACCGGAGUGGACGUUCCGCUGGUGUUCGGGUUGUCAUGCCCAUGGCAUUGCCCGGUAGCUACGAACGGAAGUGAUAACCGCUGAAAGCAUCUAAGCGGGAAGCACGCCCCAAGAUGAGAUCUCCCGAGAGCUUGACUCUCCUAAAGGCACCAUCAAGACUAGGUGGUUGAUAGGUCAGGUGUGGAUGCGCAGCAAUGCGUUGAGCUAACUGAUACUAAUGAGCCGUGAGGCUUGACC